rnacentral:rRNA from 1 species
CCCUUAGAUGUUCUGGGCAGCACGCGCGCUACAAUGGUCUUCGCAAACGGAUGCAUUCUCGAAGGAGAAUGCCAAUCUUGGAAUCUAUGCCUUGGUCGGGACAGUUGCUUGCAAUUUUUCGACUCGAACCAGGAAUUCCUUGUAAUCGUGAUUCAUCACAUCACGAUGAAUACGUCCCUGCCCUUUGUACACACCGCCCGUCGCUCCUACCGAUCGAAGAGCUAGGUGAAUUGUUUUGAUCGAUAAGAUUUGACUAUGGUCAACUCUCGUUGUGAAAUUCUGUGAAUCUGACUGUUUAGAGGAAGGAAAGGUCGUAACA